GACGAACGCUGGCGGCGCGCUUAACACAUGCAAGUCGAGCGAAGCGGCGGACGGGUGAGUAACACGUGAGUAACCUGCCUUAGACAUUGGGAUAGCCUCGGGAAACCGGGCUUAAUACCAAAUGGUCUAAGAGGGACUCGCGUCCCAUUAGAAAGUUGGUGCGGUAACGUCCCACCAAGGCGACGAGGGGUAGCCGGCAUGAGAGGUGGAAUGUCGACAUUGGAACGGAGAAACGGUGCAAACGCUACGGGAGGGGGCAGGGGGUAAUCUUGCACAAUGGAGGGAACGCUGAGGCACCGAGGGUGGUGGAACGAAGAAGGCUUUCGAGACGUAAAGUUCUUUUAGAUGGGACGCGGUACCAGAAGAAAAAGCCCCGGCUAACUACGUGCCAGCAGCCGCGGUAAUUC
rnacentral:rRNA from 1 species